rnacentral:lncRNA from 1 species
UUGAAGCGGGGUCUUUCCCUCCCUUUGUUCCUUCGCCUUCCCCCGUUGCCGCGCCGCCACCACCGAACGAGAACAGCGGGAGCGCAGAAUUCUGAAGAUUCUCUCACUUCCCUCUUCACAGGGGUUUGUCUGUCUGUCUACCCUAAAUUGGGGAGCGUGAACUGGUGCGGACAUGGGGGGAAGGGGUGGGAGGGGAGGUAUUUGAAGGGCACGCGAUUUCCCGCAAGAUUUGUGAGAAGCGCGUGUUUACGGAAUUGGGGCAGGCAGCUGGAGACAGCGGCCCAAGCGUGGCGUGAGAUCUUU